rnacentral:rRNA from 1 species
ACGCUGGCGGCGUGCCUAACACAUGCAAGUCAACUUGACUGAAGGAGCAAUCUGACAGUAGAGUGGCGCAAGGGUGCGUAACGCGUAAGUAACUUGCCCCAAGGUAAAGAAUAACGUCGAGAAAUCGGCGCUAAUACCUCAUAAUGCAGCGGAUCCGCAUGGAUAUGUUGUUAAAGGUUUACCGCCUUGGGAUAGGCUUGCGUCUGAUUAGCUAGUUGGUGUGGUAACGGCACACCAAGGCUACGAUCAGUAACUGGUCUGAGAGGAUGAUCAGUCACACUGGAACUGAGACACGGUCCAGACUCCUACGGGAGGCAGCAGUGAGGAAUAUUGGGCAAUGCUCGAAAGAGUGACCCAGCAACGCCGCGUGGAGGAUGAAGGUAUUCUAUAUCGUAAACUCCUGUGAGAGCAGACGAAAGACAGAUUAUUAAUCUGGAUGACUGUAUGCUCAGAGGAAGCCCCGGCUAACUACGUG